UGGCUCCUUUUAGCCUGCUUCCUUAGCAGUUAGAGGACUCUGAGAUGAGAGAUUUUCUCCCCCAGAAGAUAUUUUUUGUUGCUCCAUGUCUGAAGCCCAAACACCACCUCUGCAGCUGCAUUAUAACAAAAACAAGCCAUACAUUCCAGUGAAUCAGUGAUUGCUACAAGCAAUGUGAAUUUUAAGAGAACGCUGCUUUCUGGAUGUUAUUUGAACUAGCAGCUGUCCAGAAUCCUCAGCUCACCUCUUAGCAAGAAAGAACAUGUCAGGGUAUGAUGCGUGGGAAAUCCAGAACAAAGCAAGUGUGAAAGAAAUAACUGUGUAUGCAAUCAGAAGCAGGAGGAACAAGAUCCCCCCCUUUUGGUAAAGACCAACUACUAGAACUACUCAUGAUAGUCUUGUUUCAUUCCACUCUAUUAUUUUGCAGAGCAGUACAACAGUUGUUUUCAUUAUAUAUUCUUAAACAGUCAGUGUUUCUUUGUUCCUUGAAAAGAAAGAAAAAGUUCUGGAAUACACAUUGGUCAGGGAGCACGUUUGAUCCCUUUUACAACUCUUGCAUGUUACAGAUUUUGACAAUAAAAAUGUGCUCAACAUCAUAAUCUGUGGAUGUAAUUGACAUCACUAAGUCCUUUUUGAC